rnacentral:rRNA from 1 species
CAGUCGCCACGGGAAUACAGAGGGUGCGAGCGUUAAUCGGAUUUACUGGGCGUAAAGCGUGCGUAGGCGGCUUCUUAAGUCGGAUGUGAAAUCCCUGAGCUUAACUUAGGAAUUGCAUUCGAUACUGGGAAGCUAGAGUAUGGGAGAGGAUGGUAGAAUUCCAGGUGUAGCGGUGAAAUGCGUAGAGAUCUGGAGGAAUACCGAUGGCGAAGGCAGCCAUCUGGCCUAAUACUGACGCUGAGGUACGAAAGCAUGGGGAGCAAACAGGAUUAGAUACCCCCGUAGUCCCUGUCUCUAUACA